rnacentral:lncRNA from 1 species
GAUGAGAGAACCAAGUUCCUCGGGGAGAGGCAGAUGUGAAAGACCGGCGAAAACCCCGUGGUAAGAGUACCAAGAAGUUGAUAUCGUUCAGAAAGUUCCGGGCAAAUCUAAAGCGUUUAAUGACAUGGGCAAAUCCGUCCGACGCGCUUGACAAAAAGACCACAGAAAGGCCAAGAAGAGUGAGAACCUUUUCCACACACCACGUAUUGGACGAAAAACGUCUCCGCACCCUUGUAUGGACGUUCAGGAAGUGACAUUCAUUAGCCUUCAAAUCAUGACACGCGAGGGUCCGAUUCUCGACCAAAGCCGAGACCCUUCGUCGAGGAAAAGUUAACGGCUGAACGAGUCGAGGCUGACACAAACCUCACAUUUACCCGAUCACGUAACUCGCGGAAUGCUUUCAGCGAAUAAAGUGCUUCUUAGAUGCACAAAAAGCGUUGAUAUUGACGUGGCGCUGAUGCGGCUCGGGAGACCGGUAUGCGUCUUCACGGUAUAUGUUUCAGUUACA